rnacentral:rRNA from 1 species
CAUGCUUAACACAUGCAAGUUGAACGCAGCAUAGGGCUUCGGCUCUAUGGCUGAGUAGCAGACGGGUGAGUAACGCGUGGGAAUCUGCCUUUUUGUGGGGGAUAACUGAGGGAAACUUCAGCUAAUACCGCAUAAGCUCUACGGAGGAAAAGCGAAAGCUGCAAAAAGAGGAGCCCGCGUCAGAUUAGGUAGUUGGUGGGGUAAAGGCCUACCAAGCCAAUGAUCUGUAGCUGGUCUGAGAGGAUGAUCAGCCACACUGGGACUGAGACACGGCCCAGACUCCUACGGGAGGCAGCAGUGGGGAAUAUUGGACAAUGGGCGCAAGCCUGAUCCAGCCAUGCCGCGUGAGUGAUGAAGGCCUUAGGGUUGUAAAGCUCUUUCACCGAUGAAGAUAAUGACGGUAGUCGGAGAAGAAGCCCCGGCUAACUUCGUGCCAGCCGCCGCGGUAAAAC